GACGAACGUUGGCGGCGUGCUUAAUACAUGCAAGUCAACUGAAGCAGUGGUAGCAAUAUCGCUGUGGAGGUGGCGCACGGGUGAGUAACACGUAGGUAAUCUGCCUUCAGGUCUGGCAUAACUCCGGGAAACCGGGGCUAAUAGCAGAUGAUGCAGCGGCUCGACAUCGAGACAGUUGUUAAAGCUAUGGCGCCUGAAGAUGAGCCUGCGUCUGAUUAGCUAGUUGGCGGGGUAACGGCCCACCAAGGCAACGAUCAGUAGCUGGUCUGAGAGGAUGAUCAGCCACACUGGAACUGAGACACGGUCCAGACUCCUACGGGGGGCAGCAGUAAGGAAUAUUGCGCAAUGGGAGAAAUCCUGAAGCAGCAACGCCGCGUGAGGGACGAAGGGCUUUUGCUUGUAAACCUCUGUAGUGAGAGAAAAAAAUCCCAAUCUUUGGGACAUGAUGGUAUCUCAAAAGUAAGCCCCGGCUAACUACGUG
rnacentral:rRNA from 1 species